rnacentral:rRNA from 1 species
ACAGCAGCAGCCGCGGGAAUACAGAGGGUGCAAGCGUUAAUCGGAAUUACUGGGCGUAAAGCGCGCGUAGGUGGUUUGUCAAGUUGGAUGUGAAAUCCCCGGGCUCAACCUGGGAACUGCAUCCAAAACUGGCAGGCUAGAGUAGGGCAGAGGGUGGUGGAAUUUCCUGUGUAGCGGUGAAAUGCGUAGAUAUAGGAAGGAACACCAGUGGCGAAGGCGACCACCUGGGCUCAUACUGACACUGAGGUGUGAAAGCGUGGGGAGCAAACAGGAUUAGAUACCCCGGUAGUCCCUGUCUCUUAUAC